CACAUGCGCAACGUUAGGAAAGUCAUAUAAACAACAUUGAAUAAAAGUAAUUUUAUAGAGGACAACAUCUUAUUUCAACGGUGAAUUUCGAAGGAGAAGAUUGUUUAAACACAUACUAUGUAUAGUAGUGUUAGUAGUUUAAUUCGGAUGGGGACAUUUUCAGGAUGCACAUCCCGGGUCUUCAGAAGCGGUUACCUCCUCGUGGUUAGACGUUAAAAAAAAUAAAACGUAGACGUAAAAUAAAAUAAAAAUUUCGAGCGUAAAUCGUAGAUUAAAGGGUAAUCAAUCGAAAUAAUUACUU